GGGGCUAUAGCUCAGUUGGUAGAGCGCGUCGUUCGCAAUGACGAGGUCAGGAGUUCGAUUCUCCUUAGCUCCA
rnacentral:tRNA from 2 species